rnacentral:tRNA from 1 species
GUCCCUGUAGUGCAAUGGAUUGUGCGUUGGACUUGUAAUCCAAAGGUCGUGGGUUCGAAUUCCACCUGGGAUG